CUCUUCGCCCCCGGCUCGGUCCUGCCCCGCGUCCCUGCAGUUCACAAAGGGUAAGAGGGCGCCAUUGGGGCUCUGUGGGGCGCCCCCGCUGAGGAUGUUGUCGGCCGCGCUCUCCAUCUCCUCUAUGGUCAUGUCGCAGGCGUCGGCCAGCUCCUGGGUGGUGACCUCGAUGAACUUGGGAUCUUGAGCAAACUGCCCCAGUCCUUCUGAAAUCAAGACCUGAAGGAGCGGGGUGGGAGCCAUGAAGAACCAAAGGAACAUUACUCCUGGAGCCCAGCUCUUCCCUUGAGGGCUAGAGCGAGGGGGUAUCUGGUCUCAUCCUGAGACGUCUCCUCCUGACCCGCCAUGGCUGCCUGGCUCUCCCGGGAGUGGCACCUACAAUAUCCAAGAUGAAGAAAAACAUCAGAAACUGCCAACCUUCCUCCACUUCCUUCAGCAAACCUUGCAUGCUGGGCCCACUUUAUCCUCAGACCCCUGAGGGCAUCAGAGAAAGAUCCUGGUCCAUCCUCUCAGAGCCGAGUGCUAAAUCAGUGCCCUGGCUCUGAGCAUCCCAGGCAGGGUAGAAGCAAUUCUCUCUCUCGAGGAGGAGGACUGCAGACUGCCACCCGCCCCGCAGUGGAAGGAAAGAUGAGAGGGGUCGAGAGUGCGCCAUGGCACCACCCACCCUGAAGAUGUCAUCUUCAGAAGCAGCGGACACAGCCUCCUUCAUGGCCUUGUCCAGCUCCUCCUCAGCGGUGAGAUCUCCAGAGAUGGCCCGUCGGAUCUCAGGCCCGAUGUCAUGCAGUGUGCGCAAGCCAGCCUGGAAUCCAAGGGGAGGAUGGUGAGGACCACGCUCCCUUUCCUCCAAGCUCCCCAGCCAGCCACAGCCUCGGGCCAAGACCUGUCCCUCCAGGGCCCUGGCAUCCUCCACCCAGCCAGUCGACCCUCCGGAAGGUUUGUGUGUGUGUGAACUGGGGGCUGGGCUGCCCUCUGAUGGAACAAUCCACUCGCCCAUCCAGGAGGGAUGAAGGCUCAUUAGGACGGGGCACCAGGGGUCAGGGGCUGUCACGGGAGCCUCAGUGAAGUAUUUGAGAGAUCUGGGGGCUAUGACAGCAGGCAGAACCAUGGAGGGCAGUCGGUGGGUGGCAGGUAGGGAAGGGCACAUCACCCCCUUCUCACAGCCAUCUUUGGAAAGGUCUGGAGCUCUCUGAAAGGUUCCCUCUGCAGGGACCUGGCCUCCAGCCUGCUGGGGAGGGACCGGGACCCUGACUGGAGGUCAGAGGCAAUGACCAGGACCUUCCUGGAGUGUGGGCCCGCCCCCAGGCCCUCACCUGCAGAGACAGCGCGUUCCUCUGGGAGGGCUUGCCCACAAGGCCCUGCUCUUUGCGCUUCUUGAACUUCCGGAAGUACUCCUGGAUCAGGAACGUGGCGUAGAACUUGCCAACGGUGACCUCAUCAUCUGAGACGUAUGGAGAGGGGAGAGGGGAGAGAAGCUUGUUUGGCUUGGUACUGGACUUGGGAUGAGAGCUCUUCCUUCUACGUUCCAAGAGAGAAGCUUCUUUGGCUUGGUACUGGACUUGGGAUGACAGCUCUGCUUCUCUGAGGGCCGUCCUGACCAGGGCAAACAGGGUGGCAUUGAACAUGACUGUCCCGUCGCUGUUCAGAGGCAUGUUCAUGGAGACCAGGCGCUGCAGGCGAAGAGAAGCAAAGCUGGUGAUGAUGGCAGGCGGUGCUUAGGGGACCGCAGAACACCGUGGCAGAGUGAUAUGGUUUGGCUCUGUGUCCUCGCCCAAAUCUCAUGUUGAAUUGUAAUCCCCAGAAUUGGAGGUGGGGCCUGAUGGAAGGUGAUUGCAUCAUGGGGUGGAUUUCUCAUAAAUGGUUUGGUACCAUCCCCUUGGUGAGUGAGUACUCAUGAGAUCUGCUUGUUUAAGUAAGUGUGUGGUCCCUCCCCCUUCUCUCUUGCUCCCUGUCUGUCCAUGUGACGUACCUGCCUCCCCUUUGCCUUCCACCAUGAUUGAUUGGAAGCUUCCUGAGGCCUCCCCAGAAGCAGAAUGCUAGUGCCAU
rnacentral:lncRNA from 1 species